UGAACACUCGGCUUAACUAAGGGAAGUUCUAAUCCUUAUCUCAACAAAAUCACUUCUUUUUUACGUCCAAAAAUUCAAAUGCUCUUUAUUCCCCAAUUUCUUAACCACCCAACCCCAAUUUUGUUGCUUCCAACGCCAUUUGAAGUAUUGUUAGGGCAUUGGGGAACUAAAAAACGGAGCUUUUUGCAUAGAAAAUAUUGCUACUGAGAAAGAAA
rnacentral:misc_RNA from 1 species